rnacentral:rRNA from 1 species
GGAAGGAUCAUUACCGAGUUUUGGGGGGCUCUGCCCUCCUCUCUCACACCCUAUGUGUACCUACCUCUGUUGCUUUGGCGGGCCGCGGUCUCAUCCGCGGCCGGGCCCCCUAACCGGGGCUGGCCAGCGCCCGCCAGAGGACCAUCAAACUCCAGUCAGUAAACGUAGCUGUCUGAUAAAUUUUUUAAUAAACUAAAACUUUCAACAACGGAUCUCUUGGUUCUGGCAUCGAUGAAGAACGCAGCGAAAUGCGAUAAGUAAUGUGAAUUGCAGAAUUCAGUGAAUCAUCGAAUCUUUGAACGCACAUUGCGCCCCUUGGUAUUCCGAGGGGCAUGCCUGUUCGAGCGUCAUUUCACCACUCAAGCUCUGCUUGGUAUUGGGCUCCGUCCUCUCCCGGACGCGCCUCAAAGACCUCGGCGGUGGCGUCUUGCCUCAAGCGUAGUAGAAAACACCUCGCUUUGGAGGACGGGACGUUCGCCCGCCGGACGAACCUUCUGAAAUUUUUCCUAAGGUUGACCUCGGAUCAGGUAGGGAUACCCGCUGAACUUAAGCAUAUCAAUA